rnacentral:lncRNA from 1 species
AAAGGAAAAUUAGAGUGCAAAACACACCUUUGCAUUUCAAAAGGGCUAUCAAGCUGGUUCCUGCUAAGUCUUCAGCAACCCUCAGCACCUGAUGCAAGGCUGCUGACGGCCUGGAAUAUUCUGGAAGCACCUCCCAGCCACCGAAGUAUUCACUACAGGUGAGCAGAGCUUCUCUUUUUCUUCUCUUUUUUUUAAAUAGAACUACUGAAACUGAAACUCCUGAGACUACUCAAAAAAAUGAAACCUACUGAAACCACUCAAGCACCUGAAAGCACCCUCCGUGGUCCACCUGAGACGUGCUAGCAGUAAUGGCCACAAACAUACCUCAGAGGGUCACGGCUGCUGGGGUUACGCUGCCUGCGCUUCACCCAACUGCUGCUCGGAGCACCAGGAGGUUUUUGCUGGACUUCACCGACCUGUGGACCACAGUCCAAGAAGAAAAUUCAUCCCUGCUUCUGUUACCGCUCGUUCCCCCUUGGGGAUGUUUACAAGAGGCAGGAAUGAUCUUCCCUGUGGCUCUGACUGGGGAAGAGGGGACCCCCUCCAUGAAACAGCUGUACGGGCACAGGAUCCACCGCUUAGCAACAUGUAAUGUACUGCGGAGCAAAAGGGACCCAGAAGAAACUUCAGGGAUCAGAAAAUGGAAGACAAGGGACUGCUGGAGAGCAGGAACAGUCCUGAGCUCAGAUGGCAGCACACCCAGACUGGAAUUCACAUGCAGAGCUCUGCCACUUCAGGGCUGCGUGGGCUUUGAAUUGCUUUCCAGUGCCUCUUCAUUAAGGUAG